rnacentral:rRNA from 1 species
ACUUUUAUUGCGAUAGAAAGUCUUAGGUUUACAAAAAUAAAAACAGAAGUGGUGAAUAUAAAUUUUGGUAUCUUACUUUUUGUAUAACGGUUAAACAAGAAUAUUGCCUUAUGGUAUUUCCCGAAAUAAAAAGAUCUAAGUUGAAGUGUUAUCCUAUUAGAGUAUAAACUUGAUGUGGCAAUAUCAAGGGAAGAACUCAGCUUAGUGGCGAAAAGCUUACAAUUUUUAUAAUAUCUGGAUAGAGGAUAAAGGUAUGUAGUACCUAUAAUAGACAUAAGGUGUUGAGAUCUUAUGUUUAAAGAAUAAAAUUUACUAGAUUUAUUUUUUUGGGUUAAUCCUCAAAAAUUAUUCUUAAAAUAAAAUUACUCUAAAUUUUUAAUCUUUAUAUAAUCUUCUUUUUUUAGUAAACUUUUACUAAGAUUAAUAAUGUUUAAAUUAGUAAUCAUCCAUAAUUUUCUAAAAUUAAACCUACAAUAAGGAAUUCGGCAAAUAUUAGUCUCGUCUGUUUAACAAAAACAUAGUCUAAAGAAGUAUAUAUUUUAGAUAAAACCUGCCCAGUGCUAGUUAUAUAAGUAAAUGGCCGCAGUACCCUGACUGUGCUAAGGUAGCGUAAUCAGUUGGCUUUUAAUUGAAGUCGUGUAUGAAUGGAUCCACGGGGCUAAGCUGUCUCAUUAAAGGUUAAUUUGAACUUAGUUAAAGGGUGAAAAUACCCUUAAAUAGAUAAAGGACGAUAAGACCCUUGGAGUUUUUAUUAAAGUCUAUAUAAAGUUAGACUAUAUUUUUGCUGGGGCGGCAAAGAGGUAAAUAAUAUAGCCCUCUAUAUAUAAUUAGCCGAUAUUUAUAAGAACAGUUAAACUACCCGAGGGAUAACAGCAUUAUUCUUUAUAGAGUUUGUGACCUCGAUGUUGGACUAGG